UCUUGUGUUUCUCUUUCCCCUCCUUUGGUGACUUCAUCUAUCUCACUUUAAUUUUUUUCUCAAUUUCGAAUUUCAAACCCUAAUUUUAUCUCCACCCCACACCAAAUAACUUAAAUUUGUUGGAAUUUGUUGCUCCUUCAAGAUGACGACAAUUCGUAGGUUUUGCUGCAACGACCUUCUUCGUUUUACCAAUGUCAAUCUAGAUCAUCUCACUGAAACUUUUAACAUGUCAUUCUACAUGACGUAUUUAGCGCGAUGGCCCGACUAUUUCCAUGUCGCCGAAGGCCCUGGGAACCGAAUUAUGGGUUACAGUUGAGGAAUCUAGAUUUGUGUUUGAAGCUAAGACUAUACAGAGAAUGGAGCUUUUGGUGUUGUCUACUUUGAAAUGGAGGAUGCAUCCGGUGACUCCAAUUUCCUUCUUUGAACACAUUGUUAGAAGGCUUGGUUUGAAGAGUCGUUU